rnacentral:rRNA from 1 species
ACAUCCAGAGAAUUUAGCAGAGAUGCUUUAGUGCCUUCGGGAACUCUGAGACAGGUGCUGCAUGGCUGUCGUCAGCUCGUGUUGUGAAAUGUUGGGUUAAGUCCCGNAACGAGCGCAACCCUUAUCCUUUGUCGCCAGCACGUAAUGGUGGGAAACUCAAAGGAGACUGCCGGUGAUAAACCGGAGGAAGGUGGGGAUGACGUCAAGUCAUCAUGGCCCUUACGAGUAGGGCUACACACGUGCUACAAUGGCGCAUACAAAGAGAAGCGACCUCGCGAGAGCAAGCGGACCUCAUAAAGUGCGUCGUAGUCCGGAUUGGAGUCUGCAACUCGACUCCAUGAAGUCGGAAUCGCUAGUAAUCGUAAAUCAGAAUGUUACGGUGAAUACGUUCCCGGGCCUUGUACACACCGCCCGUCACACCAUGGGAGUGGGUUGCAAAAGAAGUAGAUAGCUUAACCUUCGGGAGGGCGUUUACCACUUUGUGAUUCAUGACUGGGGUGAAGUCGUAACAAGGUAGGCGUAGUGCU